GUUAUGCCAAAAAUAGUUUUGUUUGGGUAUUAAAACAACGACUUGGUCAACAAAUAACGAAUUACCGUAUGCAAACAUUCGGUUGGAAGAUUACAGACAGAGACGCAACAACUUCCAACUUCGUUCGACAUUUGAAGUUGCACAAAGACGGGGAUAGUCAGGAGUAUGACCAGACAUCCAAGUCCCUCUACAAGCAGGAGAAUGAACCGAUGAGAAAACCGGACUGAUGGAAGCCUUUCUACGAUGUUAUGCUGCCAGAAUUCCUGACAGCUCCCCUGCUUUAAAGAAAACUACAAGAACAAGGGAACUCUCCUGAAGAAAUCAAUACACAUCUGCAGUCCCCUCCAAGGUUUGUCAUUGUAGCCCAUUGGGUUGAGUUGUUCCUUUCCUGAUGUGGGAUCUGAGCCGAGGAUGUUGUGGCUUGUGCAGUCCUUUGAGACACUUGUGAUUUAGGGCUAUAUAAAUAAACUUUGAUUGCUUGAGAUAGUUGUGUGAAAGGAGGCGCUUGCGCAGCAGCUUGUCCUAUGCUUCUCAACAUACAUAGACUUUCAAAAAUUGUCUAAUAAAUAAUAUAACUUUAUAGCUGUUGGGUGACUUAAAUGGUUGAUUAAAACAAAUUCAGAUUACGUGUUUUAAUGAUUCAAAUUUUUUCUUAUACACUUUAUAUGCAAAUAUGCAUGUCCUUGCGUUUGAAGGGAACGUUUGACGCUAGUGCCUGCCUUUCACACGAAAUGGACUUUCAGCAUGCUAGAAAUUGGGUUCUAUUGAGGACUGCUUCUAAAAUGCCCAGAAAUAGUGGUAUAUGUCUGCUGCAUGUUUACAAACACCACAGUUAAGGAGCAUUACAUGGAUGUGCAGUAAAUGAGUGUUUCCAUGGUAAAAGUCACAUAGCACUCACAAAAAUCUAACUCAAAUCGGGUGAUCUGCACCAGUUAUCAACUGUACACGCACUCUUAGUAGAUCACACGUUCACACAUUCACGAAUAUAGUGGUACACCAUUUUGCACACAUCGUUUAGCGUAUAUAACAUAGUCCUUUGUCCUUUUAUCAGGACACAUCCAUAAACACAUCCAUGUAAACCCCACACUGCUACAGAAAGGUACAAAUCAACAUCAAUAUUUUCACAGUAAAGUCAUGUGUUUUCUACAUAUUAUAACCGAAGUAAUGUAAGUUAUCUGCUGUUUCUUGUUUUGCAGGAAUCCCUUGCAUUUACUCAUGUGAAUAAACUAUUUUUGAUUUUACAGUACUUCAGUCUUGCUAUUUAACAAUGGAUUGCCAUAGUUUUAAAUAUUGAAUACUUCGCCUGUAAAUGGACAAAGACAAGUGGCUGCCACAAAAACAAUAUGUCGCCUUUUGUGGGGAGAUGGGGUCUUGCAGUACAUCAAACAUGUUUUUUUUUCCAGUUUGAAAUGACACCACAGUAAUGUGAAUGCCACUGCAGCCUGGAAAAAAUGCUGGCGUGGUGCAAACCAGCUGUACCAGCUGUAGCCAAUGCCGUAACAAAUGCCAUUAGUGUUUGUGGAGAGGGGCGUGUUCCGCGCGUCCCCUGCGGGCGGGGUGUGUGCAGGGGCCGGCCAUGAAGCAGCCAACAGGUGAGUGGAUACCUCAGCUGGAACGAGUGAUCUAAUCACCUGUUCCCUUUAUUAGCAGCGCUGGAGACCAUGAAAUAGAGAGAGGCAUGAGGACGCAGGAGGACGCAGGAGGACGCAGGACAGACGCACAGAGACGAACAAGGGACAGCUGAAAAGCUUGAAAGACGGACAAUUGUGUAAAGUAAAAGAUGUACUAAAGACUGUGUCAAACCUGAGAAGCUGAACAGACGGACAAUUGUGUAAAGUAAAAGAUGUAUUAAAUACUGUGUCAAACCUGUAUC